ensembl:lncRNA
UGGAACUGGACUUUUACCACACUCUGGGGUGAAACACCUGAAACACUGAGCACCUGGGAAUCUCCAAAUCUUUACAGAGCAUCUUCAGGAUUGGAGAACACUAGGGUGAGAGGUAUGGGGAGAUCAGCUCAGUCGUGCGAGGUGAUGGUGAUGGUGAUGGUGGUGGUGAUGCUGGUCUGUGGAUGGACUGAUGGAAAGGUGGUGUCUAAGUGUGACCUGAGGUCUCGACUUCAGAAAGCCUUUUUAAGGCAUCCGAGUGACGUCAUCGCUAAAAUGGUCUGCACGGUGGAGUACAUCUCCGUCUUCAAUACCGGUCUUGUGACCACCAAUAACAACGGCCCCCUUGGAUCCUUUAUCGGACCUCAAUAUAACAAAGGAUAUAAUUACCCAAUUCCCGAGGUGAUCGGAGACUAUUUUCCAGAAAACUGGCCAGGGACAGCGGAACCCGAAAACCCUUCGUUUCCUCCAGAGGUUGUGAGUGAUGAUUUGAUUCCUGCAAGACCCUCUCAGAAACCUGCAGUUACUUCGGUUCAGUCUGGAGAAGAACAGGGUUCUGGUGACGAACCACCGUCUGGGAAUGGUUCUGGAAAAGGUUCAAAGAGCCAAACUGGAGGCAAACAUGGAGUUGAUUCGGGAGAAGAGUCAGGUGAAGAUGGUUCUGGAGAAAGUUUAAAGAGCAAAUCUAAAGGCAAACGUGAAGUUGAUUCUGGAGAAGGGUUAGGUGAAGAUAGUAUCCCAUUAUUGGGCAGCACCAACCAGGAAAUAAUUUAUGACUCCUAUGAGGACGUGUUUGGCCACAAACAAAGGGAGGAUUCUGGAGAACCACUAGAGGCCACCACUGCCAUCCCAUUAUUGGGCAGCACCAACCAGGAAAUAAUUUAUGACUCCUAUGAGGACGUGUUUGGCCACAAACAAAGGGAGGAUUUUGGAGAACCACUAGAGGCCACCACUGCCAUCCCAUUAUUGGGCAGCACCAAUGAGGACAUACAUUAUGACUCCUAUGAGGACCUGUUUGGCCACAAACAAAGGGAGGACUUUGGAGAACCACUAGAGGCCACCACUGCCAUCCCAUUAUUGGGCAGCACCAAUGAGGACAUACCUUAUGACUCCUAUGAGGACCUGUUUGGCCAUGAACAAAGGGAGGGUUCUGGAGAAAGUUCAAAGAGCAAAUCUAAAGGCAAACAUGAAGCUGAUUCAGGAGAAGAGUCAGGUGAAGAUGGUUCUGGAUAUCAUUUCAGUGGAGAGGGGUCAGGGAGUUCUGGAGAACCACUAGAGGCCACCACUGCCAUCCCAUUAUUGGGCAUCACCAACCAGGAAAUAAUUUAUGACUCCUAUGAGGACCUGUUUGGCCACAAACAAAGGGAGGAUUCCGGAGAAAGUUCAAAGAGCAAAUCUAAAGGCAAACGUGAAGCUGAUUCAGGAGAAGAGUCAGGUGAAGAUGGUUCUGGAUAUCAUUUCAGUGAAGAGGGGUCAGGGAGUUCUGGAGAACCCCUAGAACCCACCACUGCCAUACCAGAGGGGGACAGCACCAACAACGACUUUUUUCCUGGUGAUACAGAUGAGAUACCAGCUUGGCAACGAAAAUACCCAUAUGAGCCCAGGAACAACGAGGACAUUCAUUAUGAUACUUACGAGACCAUUUAUGGCCACCCACAAAAAAAGGGUCCCAAUAUGCCAAAUAAUCAUGAAGGCCGACCAUAUACGUACUACAACCACGGGAAUCCAUACAACCAUGACUCCAGCCCAAGGAACCUGUAUGGAAUAUUCCAGUUGAGUGAUAACAUGGCUUGCCAGUCCCAGGGGAGACACAGUCUGAAUGCCUGCAGUCUGUAUUGUGAAGAUCUGAUUGACAGUGAUAUCACUGAUGACAUUGAUUGCCUGAUGACCUUGAAAAAUCUAGGGAUGGAUGUGAUGGUCUUGGAGCAGUGCCAGACUAUUGGAGCCUCAGAAUACUUCGCUGAAUGUGAUUAAUUCAGAACAUCUACUACAAAACUACAAUAAUCAGAAUAAAUCACUCUGAUUCUCUUCUUCUACA